UACCGGCUGCUCGAGCGUUAAUCGGAAUUACUGGGCGUAAAGCGUGCGCAGGCGGUUUUGUAAGACAGAUGUGAAAUCCCCGGGCUUAACCUGGGAACUGCGUUUGUGACUGCAAGGCUAGAGUACGGCAGAGGGGGUGGAAUUCCACGUGUAGCAGUGAAAUGCGUAGAUAUGUGGAGGAACACCGAUGGCGAAGGCAGCCCCCUGGGCCUGUACUGACGCUCAUGCACGAAAGCGUGGGGAGCAAACA
rnacentral:rRNA from 1 species